GGGGGUGUAGCUCAGUGGUAGAGCACCUGCCUAAUCUAUUAGAUGCCCUGGGGUCCAUCCCCAGCAUCACCA
rnacentral:tRNA from 1 species